AGCCUUCUGUAUCCGUGCUGAGAUUUCGUCACACACCAGACUACAAGGGCUGAUGAGAAUUGUGUACACAAGCU
rnacentral:pre_miRNA from 1 species